rnacentral:rRNA from 1 species
AGGGUGUAAACGCUGCAGACUUGGUGUUGGGAACCCUUCGGGGGUGCUCAGUGCCGGAGGGAAGUUGUUAAGUCUGCUACUUGGGGAGUACGUCCGCAAGGAUGAAACUUAAAGGAAUUGGCGGGGGAGCACCGCAACGGGAGGAGCGUGCGGUUUAAUUGGAUUCAACGCCGAAAAACUCACCAGCAGCGACUGUUACAUGAAAGUCAGGUUGAUGACCUUACUAGAUUUUCAGAGAGGAGGUGCAUGGCGUCAGUGACU